GCCGACUGUAACCUGAGGCCCCGCGGGCGAGGAAAAGGUGCGGAUCCCGCCCUCGAGGCAGCCAGGUGGGAAGUAUUUCGGGGUGCUGCGCCCUGCGAGUCCGCGCCGGCCGCACGCGGCCCGCAUCCCGCCCCCGCCGUCAGCACAGCCCACGUGCAGGCAGAGGAGAGCAAUGUCUAGAGGUCACAGUCAGGAGGGCAGCUGGCUGGCCUUGGGGCUGGCUGCCAAGGAAAUCGGUGCCUCCUCCAAAGUAACUCUGGGUCAGCCCUGUUUAGAAGUCCUCGCAAACUCUGAGGCUCCACUUGAUCAUUACUGCUUCCGUGAAGCCU